UGUCCUACGGGGGGCAGCAGUGGGGCAUAUUGGGCAAUGGGCGCAAGCCUGACCCAGCCACGCCGCGUGAAGGACGAAGGCUUUCGGGUUGUAAACUUCUUUUGUCAGGGACGAAGCAAGUGACGGUACCUGACGAAUAAGCCACGGCUAACUACGUGCCAGCAGCCGCGGUAAUACGUAGGUGGCAAGCGUUAUCCGGAUUUACUGGGUGUAAAGGGCGUGUAGGCGGGACUGCAAGUCAGAUGUGAAAACCACGGGCUCAACCUGUGGCCUGCCUUUGAAACUGUA
rnacentral:rRNA from 1 species